GAAAUCACAUGAGUCAUGCUUAAUGUUGGUGAUUGUGAUAACGUAAGGGAAAAAAAUGAUAUUACCUUACUAUUAGUGUUGUCCAAAACUGGUGCCAGAAGACUCGGUAAGGCCAGAGACGCAAACGUUAGUCGUCCUAAUCAGGCGUAAAGGGUGUGUAGGCUGCUUUGAAAGUUAUAUUUUUCAUAAAGCUCUUUUAACGUAGUAUAUUAAUAAAAAAAAAUAUUAAUAUCCGUUCUAAGGUAAAAAUAGAAUUAAUUAAAGCUAGGAUCAAAUUGAGGAUAAGCCAAAUAAUACUUAGAGUAGGGAUUAAAUCCGCAGAUACUAAGGGGAAUACUAAAGGUGAAAGCUUUUUAUCUAUUAUUGAUUGACGCUGAGAAACGAAGGUGAGAAUAGGAAAUAGGAUUAGAUACCCAGAUACCUCUCACUGUCAACGAUGAAUGGUGGUUGUUAGUUUUUUUAAUUAAAACUGGUAACGAUGUUAACACGAUAACCAUUCCGCCUUGCGAGUACGGUUGCAAAACUGAAACCAAAAAAAUUAGUCGGUCU
rnacentral:rRNA from 1 species